rnacentral:tRNA from 1 species
UUAGCUCAGUCGCUUUCUUGUAAAGCCAGGGCAGUUGGCUUUUAACCAUCAGUCGAUAGGUUAGAGUCCAUUACUGCACGCCA